CUGUCGGCUGUAAAUCUGACGCAUGUGUUACUUUCAAAGAUAACCCGCGUCGCUGAAUUUAUGUCUCAGGCAGAAAUUUCGGGAUUUGGUUUAAGUUCAGCCAGCCUCUUUGUCCCAAACUGACCCUCUGACCACAUGAAGUCAUAAAAUUUGAUGUCAUGAAGGGGGAGGGGGUGGGGUGCCACAAGAAAUACAAGCCUUUUUUCAGAAGGUACCCAUGAUUGAUAACACAAAAUUGAGGGGAACCUAAAAUAGACAGAGUGUGCACACCCUCGGGGUGCAGACAUCGUGGUGGACGCAGCUCAGCUGUUGGAUAAACACGCCGUGAUGGACGGUCACCCCCCCCCAGCCAAAACCACCGCAACCUUCGGCUUCUUCUCAGCCAGAUUUUCUCAAGAUCAAGAUUAUAGAGGAUGAUGCCUUAAACAAACGAAAACAGACGAUCCAAGUCAGUGGAACUUUGGAGGACCAACACCUUGCUAAUGAGAGGCCAGAGGAGAAAGCGAAGAAGGUUAUAAAUUAACUGGAGACAUAAUUUA